CUAACAAGGAUUCCCCUAGUAACUGCGAGUGAAGCGGGAAAAGCUCAAAUUUAAAAUCUGGCAGUCUUUGGCUGUCCGAGUUGUAAUCUAGAGAAGUAUUAUCCGCGCUGGACCGUGUACAAGUCUCCUGGAAUGGAGCAUCAUAGAGGGUGAGAAUCCCGUCUUUGACAUGGACUGCCAGGGCUUUGUGAUAUGCUGUCGAAGAGUCGAGUUGUUUGGGAAUGCAGCUCAAAAUGGGUGGUAAAUUCCAUCUAAAGCUAAAUAUUGGCGAGAGACCGAUAGCGAACAAGUACCGUGAGGGAAAGAUGAAAAGAACUUUGGAAAGAGAGUUAAACAGUACGUGAAAUUGCUGAAAGGGAAACGCUUGAAGUCAGUCGCGUUGGCCAGGGAUCAACCUUGCUUUUUUUGCUUGGCUUACUUUCUGGUCAAUGGGUCAGCAUCAAUUUUGACUGGUGGAAAAAGUUCAAGGGAAUGUGGCAUCUUUGGAUGUGUUAUAGCCUUUGUUCAUAUACAUUGGUUGGGAUUGAGGAACUCAGCACGCCGAAAGGCCGGGUUUUUUAACCACGUACGUGCUUAGGAUGCUGGCAUAAUGGCUUUAAUCGACCCGUCUUGAAACACGGACCAAGGAGUCUAACAUGCCUGCGAGUGUUUGGGUGAAAAACCCGAGCGCGUAAUGAAAGUGAAAGUUGAGAUCCCUGUCGUGGGGAGCAUUGACGCCCGGAUCUGACCUUUUGUGACGAUUCUGCGGUAGAGCAUGUAUGUUGGGACCCGAAAGAUGGUGAACUAUGCCUGAAUAGGGUGAAGCCAGAGGAAACUCUGGUGGAGGCUCGUAGCGAUUCUGACGUGCAAAUCGAUCGUCAAAUUUGGGUAUAGGGGCGAAA
rnacentral:rRNA from 1 species